AUUGAACGCUGGCGGCAUGCCUUACACAUGCAAGUCGAACGGCAGCACGGGGGCAACCCUGGUGGCGAGUGGCGAACGGGUGAGUAAUGCAUCGGAACGUGCCCAGUAGUGGGGGAUAACCAGUCGAAAGACUGGCUAAUACCGCAUACGACCCAAGGGUGAAAGCGGGGGACCGUAAGGCCUCGCGCUAUUGGAGCGGCCGAUGUCUGAUUAGCUAGUUGGCGGGGUAAGAGCCCACCAAGGCGACGAUCAGUAGCUGGUCUGAGAGGACGACAAGCCAGACUGGGACUGAGACACGGCCCAGACUCCUACGGGAGGCAGCAGUGGGGAAUUUUCCACAAUGGGCGAAAGCCUGAGGGAGCAACGCCGCGUGUGUGAUGAAGGUUUUCGGAUCGUAAAGCACUUUCGACUGGGACGAAAAACCUUUGGCUAACAUCCAGGGGCCUGACGGUACCAGGAGAAGAAGCACCGGCUAACUCUGUGCCAGCCGCCGCCGUAACAC
rnacentral:rRNA from 1 species